rnacentral:piRNA from 1 species
UGGGAUGUUUGCAGGGAUAGUUGAUCCUCC